rnacentral:misc_RNA from 1 species
GAUUCUAGAAUUAUUAAUAACUAUUAAGUAUAGCAUUCAUCUAGUCUGAUUUGAUCUAAUAGCUUAAAAUAUAUUACUUAUCUAGCUCUUGCCAGAUUCAAGUUUCACUCCCUCAAUCGUGAAUUAAAUUGUUAAAACACAGCCAAUGUAAUAAAUUACAUAAUGUUCUUCCAAUUACGGAUAUUCAAAUUACUAUGGCCUGGGCCUGUUAUAGCUUUUGGUUUCUCCACAACCCAUAAUAGAUGAAGGCAAGUUCCCCACCUUUUCUAUCCCUUCUUCAAAUACUACUGCCAUACCCAUAUAAAAAUGAGACUCGACAUGGCAAUGAAAAGCCCAAACGCCUGGAUUAUUAGCUUGAAACCUUAAAGCAGUCCAUCCAUAAGGAUGAAGAGGCACUGUGUUCUUCAUGAUUGGAUUUACAAGAUUGUACUUUUUCCCAUCGCUGGACAUAUUAUAUUUACCCAUCCCAUAUCCCAGCACCCAAAACUCAUGCCCAUGAAGAUGCCAAGGAUGUGUCUCGCUAUUGUUCACAGUCAUGGUAUUAGCAUUUUGUAGUAUAAUGUCUACUGUUGAAUUGAACCGUAGCCUGUAUAUGCGGUUGCUGGAAGUAGCAUUAACAUUUUUGGCAACUCUGUAUAUAUCAUAACUUGCAAAAUCAUAUCCAUCAGGAGGUGGGUUUUGAUCGAACGCAUCGGUUAAAUUCUCUUUUAGAGCAAUAAGAUAUGGGGUAGUUGGGAAAGUGAGAGAGAGAUUGUUUAAAGCCCAUUUAUAGUAACCAUCAAUCUUGUUUUGUGUGUUGAGAAGAACAAUCGCUCUGUCUGAAGUGAGGGGAGGGGUGUCAAUAAAACCUUGGCGAGCCUUUAAGGCAAUACUCUGAGCCAACCUUGAAGUGGUAUCAUUCCAAAGAGGCCCAGUGGUUGGAACUGUUGGAGGUGGCUUUUGAGGAUGGUUUGGGUAGUAAUUGAAAAUGGCUAAACCAGUUGGUGUUGCAGGUUUGCGACUGACCACAUUUAUAGUGAUCCAAUAGUUUCUUGAAGGGUCUUGAUUGGCUUUGACUAACACAGAGUACGUCUCACCAGAAUAGAUGUAGAGGUUUCGUACCACAAAUGGUUCCACAUAGCUUCCAUCUGCUUCUACAACAGUCAUAUCAUGGCCCUGUAUAAGAAUAUUAAUAAUCAAAAUCAUGAUUGAUAAUGGAUGAAUUAACAUAUAAUACAAGUUACCUCAAUUUCAAAACUAAGAGCAGAUAGGGCAGUUAAACUACCAAUCCUUAAUCGAUACGUUUUUCCUGGAACAACAGUAAGCACAUGAGGAGAACAUUGAGGAUUUGUUGCAUUGCAGGCUCCGGGAGUAGUCAAUAGAGAGCAGUUGUAUUUUCCUUUUCCAUUUAUAAGAAGUGACUGUGGCUCGCCAACGAAAACAAAGGGAAUGGAAGAUAGGCCAGUGGCUUGUUCAUCACUGCUCUUGUGAUACCAAUCAUUCAAGAUUAUGUUUCGAUCAUAAUCAUAGGAGAACGGUUCGGAAACCCCAUUAGGAAGCAAUACGAUGAUGGUUCCAUAUAACCCAGCUUCUCUUUGCAUUCCAUAAUGUCCAUGGUAUGUGUAUGUUCCUGCUCUAUCCACAACAAAUUUAUAAAUCAAUUUUUCUCCUGGUUGAAUGGGACAUUGAGUGAACCCUCCUGUACCAUCACUCCAUGGAGUUCCAAUCUGACGGAUCCCAUGCCAGUGAAUUGCAACAUUCUCAGUUAACAGAUUAUUUUGAAGCUUAACUAUAAUCGUAUCACCUUGCUGUGCCAAGAUUGUUGGUCCUGGUGUUCUUCCAUUAAUGGUAAUAGCCAGUUUCUUGUAGCAAUCAGGAGACUUGUACUCGUAGUUAACCUCCCAAUCGUAGUGGCGAGUUCUAGCUUCAACCGUUGAGAAGCUGAUAAAAGAAAUCAAGUGACAGAAAGCAAGAAACCUCACCAAAUAUCCUAUGCAUUGCAUAGGCUCAAUCAUUUUCAAGAUAUUCAAGAACUUGAGAAUGCUCACUUAUUCUUCCGUAACUUCAGCAGGCAGGCAACCCAAUUACAAUUUUUGUACUGUUAGCGAAUGAAGUUAUGAGGUGAACUUGUCCCUCCAAAUAAUCCAAAGUUGCCUGCAGAAAGCAGGAAGUCCACAACAUAUAAAAGUAGCAUUGACUCUAACUUAGGCUUAAGUUGUUCAUUAGAAAGGUGCGUGCUAGUCCUUCCUGUUGCGCAUAUAACCAAUCUUCUCUUUUCUUUGGUUUUGCGAAGCAAUCUUUUCAGUCUCAACUUCAAGUGAGUGAGAUUAAUCCCACGGCAAUUAAGAUUAGGAGUAGCAACUUCAUUAUCCAACUGCAAAACAAAACAAUGGUUAAAUAUAUGUUUUGAGUCCAAACAGAAAGACAUUGAAUAAGAUAAAUUAAAGGCGAAGAUUCUUGCCAAAUGGCAUUGAUAUUAUCUUCAAUAUUAUAUGAGGCUCUGUCUGAAGUUCAAAUCUCUAAAAUUAAAAAAAAAAAAAAAAA